UUGGGAAGCCCUGGAAAGUGGUGUGGUCGUGAACUGGAGGAGGAAGAACAAGGAGGAGGGGGUCACAGGACCAAGGGGAGAUGCCACGAGAGUCUGCACAAGGUGAUGUCGAAGGAAAAGGAGAGGAGGGAAGAUGGUGUUGAGAGCAUGCGCUGUGUAGCUUCUCUCUCUAAAUGCUCCACUGAAUACAGAGAUACACACAAGUCCUCAGGAGCUGGAAAUACAUGGGGAGUGUGGGGGAUAAGGCAAACAGGAUAUUGGCUUUUGGGAGAGGACCCUGAUGACCUAGGGAAGAGAAACAGUGAGAGGUCUCAGAAGGUUCCAGGAGAACCUAGGUUCUGUGCUCCCUGGAGAAGGCUGGGAAACACCGUUGGAAUUUCAGGAAGACGGGAUGUUGACCUAGUGUGGAAAUUCUCAGGUGGGUCUGAGUCCCCUCUUCAAACAUCCCAUUAUGAUCCAAGACCUCAAAUUUCCACUGAAAAGUGGGUGCCUCCAAGCAGCCUUCCCUCUCCUGGGAACCAGUGGUUCUAAUUCCACCAGAGGUGCCCACAGGUGGCUGCAUGUUGAGGUCCCCUGGGGACCUUUAAACAUGCAUGUGCCGGGGUCCAGUCUCAUAGACCCUGAUUUGUG